AGGAAACCUUCGUAUAAAAAUAAUUUUAGUGGGUGGACCAGCCAUCAUAUGGGCAUGUAAGGCUCAUAAUUUUGGGGCUUCAAAAGAAAAAGGGUGAAAAACUUAUUAUUGGGCCUGCAUAGGAUUUAAAUGCCCAAAGUAUGGAUAGGGAUUCCUACCUCAUAUUAAAUGUCUUGAUUGUCCUUCCUCCGUAAUUAAACCUGGAACUAAUAAUUAGUCAAAAACAAAAGUAAUACUUAUAAUCAAUUUUUUUUUCUUUUUUUUCCUCCUUUUUCUUCUCUUCUUAAUUAGUGAUAAUGACGAUGAAUCCCAUAAUAAAAUGAAGAAUUGAUCGAUCAAGAAGUUCAAACAUCAGUUAAUCCUUCAACAAUGACUUCUAUUAGAAAAAACAGAACACUACCAGUAACUCGGAUCUGACCCAGUUUUGAAGACGACGAGUUUCAGGCACCGACUUUGGACCAGAGUAAGAAGAAAUUCGUUUUG